rnacentral:rRNA from 1 species
UACAGAGGUCUCAAGCGUUGUUCGGAUUCAUUGGGCGUAAAGGGUGCGUAGGUGGCGCGGUAAGUCGGGGUGUGAAAUCCUCCAGCUCAACUGGAGAAUUGCGCCCGAAACUGCUGUGCUUGAGAAAGAUAGAGGUACGCGGAACUUAGGGUGGAGCGGUGAAAUGCGUUGAUAUCCUAAGGAACACCGGUGGCGAAAGCGGCGUACUGGGUCUUUUCUGACGCUGAGGCACGAAAGCCAGGGUAGCGAACGGG